AAGUUAAACGGCCGCGGUACCCUAACCGUGCGAAGGUAGCGCAAUCACUUGUUCUUUAAAUAAGGACUAGUAUGAACGGCAUCACGAAGGUUAUACUGUCUCCUUCCUCCAAUCAGUGAAACUGACCCCCCCGUGAAGAGGCGGGAAUAAAACUAUAAGACGAGAAGACCCCAUGGAGCUUAAAACUCAGCAUCAAUUGCCACACAAACACACCAUUUUAACCAAGCAAGCCUGACAGCUGGUUUUCGGUUGGGGUGACCACGGAGCAAAACAAAACCUCCACGAUGAAAGGGACCUCCCUAAUCAAAGAGCUACAACUCAAAGAAUCAAUAAAUUGACAUAAAUUGAUCCAAUUAAUUUUGAUCAACGAACCAAGUUACCCUGGGGAUAACAGCGCAAUCCACUUCAAGAGCUCAUAUCGACAAGUGGGUUUACGACCUCGAUGUUGGAUCAGGGUAUCCCAGUGGUGCAGCCGCUACUAAAGGUUCGUUUGUUCAACGAUUAA
rnacentral:rRNA from 1 species